UUCAGAUUGCAGGCUGCAACUCGCCUGCAUGAAGUCGGAAUUGCUAGUAAUCGUAGGUCAGCAUACUACGGUGAAUACGUUCCCGGGCCUUGUACACACCGCCCGUCAAACCAUGAGAGUUGGCAACACCCGAAGUCGGUAGUCUAACCGCAAGGAGGACGCCGCCGAAGGUGGGGUCGAUGAUUAGGGUUAAGUCGUAACAAGGUAUC
rnacentral:rRNA from 1 species